UACGUAGGGUGCGAGCGUUGUCCGGAAUUACUGGGCGUAAAGGGCUCGUAGGCGGCCAACUAAGUCAGACGUGAAAUCCCCAGGCUCAACUGGGAACUGCGUCUGAUACUGGAUGGCUUGAAUUCGGGAGAGGGAUGCAGAAUUCCAGGUGUAGCGGUGAAAUGCGUAGAUAUCUGGAGGAAUACCGGUGGCGAAGGCGGCAUCCUGGACCGACAUUGACGCUGAUGAGCGAAAGCUAGGGGAGCAAACGGG
rnacentral:rRNA from 1 species